UCAGGACAGGAGGAGAAAGCCUAGUGACAGAGCAGGAUGCAGGCACGUAGCCUUCCUCAAACAUGAGUUAAUCAUCUUAUUCCAUCUCGCACCACCACUCAAUCUAAGCCCAGUAAUUUUCCUUCACGUCAGCUGAGAACUGUGGAGGCAGGGUCACGGGGGACAUGGGGGUGCUAUUUGCUCUUUGCAGAGGCCUGAGGAGGCAGGUUCCCCAGCCGGGCCGGAGUUUGAUAUCAGCUACCUUUGAAGCAAGGGCAGCUUCAGGAUGGUUUGUCCCCAAGGCGACUGCCUCCCAGGGGACUUGGCACCAGAGGGAAAUCCGCAACAGAAACUUUACCCAAGGUGACCAAGAGCCAGCAGCGGGGCCUGUGCCCUUCAUGGGAGCUGGACCCCGGGAGGCGCAGGCGCCAGGGCCGUUGGAAAGGGUGGAAUUCGCAAGGCGAGCUCUAGUGUGAACACCCUGAGUCCAUCUACCCUGGAAACGGUCCCUCGAGUUGGACGAGAUCCGAGUCUCGAUAAACACGUCAGAUCUUUGCUUCUCCAUCAUUCCAGGGAGACGUUAAAGCCAGCAAACACACACACACAUCACCAGCACGCCCUGGCCUGCCCCCCUCCCCAGGGCGGACCCCCCACCUCUGCAAGGCUUGCUCUUCUGUGAGGGCAUAUGCCACAGGUGCAGCAGUAAAAAAAGAAAAAGAUUGAGACGAGGUAAGAAACAUGUAAAACAAUGACCAUAAAACAAAACCAAUGAUCAUUAACGGAGCACCUGCCUGAUCAGAUGUCAAAAUAUACGCCACAGCUACGGUCCCUGCAAUGUAGUGAUAUUGUCCCAGGAGAAUCAAAUGCAUGCAUGGACAAGAGUUCAGAAAUAUCCAUGUGCCAUGUGCUUAUUUAUAUAACAUUAUAAAGUGGCAUUUCAAAUCAGUGGGAAAAAAUACACUCUUUCAUAAGUGCUAUCGGGAAAAUCGGCUAUUUAUUUGGACAAAAAACAUUUAGAUACAUUCUUCCUACAAUUCAUCAAGUUUAACUCCUAAUGUUUAAAAGAUUUAAGUAUUUAAAAGUAUAAACAAAAUCAGACUGUAUUUCCUUAUGGGGAUAAGGAAAGCUUUUGUAAAUACAGAAACCAAGAAGGCAAAGGUUGGCAGAUUUAAUAGACAAAGAGAUUAGGAGCCAGCCUAUGUAAAGGAGACCUACAAAUCAAUAAGAAAAAGACAAACAACUCAAUAGACAAAUGCACAAAAUACUUAAACAGGCUCUUCAUGAAUGAGAAAAAUCAAAAAGCCAAUGAAACACCAGGAAAACGCCUUCAUAUUAGUACCGCAGGAAACAAAAAUGCAAACUAAAAUGAGAAACUACACCCUCCAUAUUGGCAAAAACCUAAAAGUGUGACCAUAUCAAAUACCGGCAGAGACUUAGAAAGCAGGCUACCACAUACCUCUGCCCCCCCAGGUGCAAAAACAACUGCUUUCCUAAGUCCAGCCACUCUAGAGAGCAGAGUUAUCAGUUCUAGGAGACCCAAGGAGGAAUAUAUCCUACCACCCCGAAAUUUCACAUGCAAGGAUGCGCCUGGAAGAGAGUGUAUCACAUCAUUAUCUGCAGUAGCUACUACUGGGAAAAAUGCAAACGUUCAUCAGUACAUAAGUUUAUCACAACAAACUAUGCAUACUUACGUAUCAACACAGAUAGACCUCAAGAUGGUGCUGAAUUUAAAUAACGUUACCAAAUAAAAUGACUAUGCCAUUUAUGAGUUUUAAAAUGCACACAAAAUAAUACCUGGUACUUUGUAUAAUUAUCUACUUUUUGAAAAAAAUACAUAUUAUAACCUCACAGGAGUGUACAAAAUCCCCUCUAGUAAUUACACCUGUGGCAGGAGGUGAAGCAGCCGGGGUAUGGGUGAGAAGGAUCAGCAUCACGUUUAUGUUUUUAUUUUAUGCACAGUCCUAAAAAUUUGAAACAAAUAUGUUAAAAUCUUAUUUCUUGAUAUUUUCUUAAAUUAUUCUCUGCCCUGCUCUGUACCUUUUAAAUUUUCCAAGAUUAAAAAUGUCAUCUAUGCUAAUAUUUUGUUUUACCAUUUUUUUUGUUAAACUGAAUAAAUUCACACAUUGCUGCAUUGCCUUUUUUUAAAAGACUGCUAAACUUGGCCACCUAAAAAAGUAAAAAUUCUAUACAGAAAAAAAAAAUCAUGAACAAAUAAAAUCGACCAACAACAAACGAGGAAAGCAUCUUUGCAACAUAUUACAAAGAGUAGCCUUAAUAUGUAAAAAUUACAUUCAGACCAAUAAGAAAAAGACAUUGCACUAGAAAACUGGGCAUAAAAUAAAGAAGAGUAACUCGGAGUUUCCAUUGUGGCUCAGUGGGUUAAGAGAUGGACACAGUGUCCAUGAGGGCCCAAGAUCAAUCCCUGUCCUCACUCAGCGGAUUAAGGAUCCAUUGCUGCAAACUGUGGCCUAGGUCACAGAUGUGGCUUGGAUCCCAUGUUGCUGUGGCUGUGGCUCAGGCCUGCAGCUGCAGCUCUAAUUAGAUCCCUAAUCUGGGAACUUCCAUAUACGAGAGGUGUAGCCAUGAAAAGGAGAAACAAACAAACAAACAAAAAUAAAGUAAAGGCUACAUCUGCCUGCAGUAAAGAAGCCCCAGCUCCACCGGUAGCACAGGUGAGUAGCUAAGUGCUAGGGCACAGCUCGCUGGGCCCUGCCUGUUGUCUCAGAUCAAAACUCCCAGAGAUUCUUGCCUACCAGACCAAACUUCAAGGAGACAACAGAAAGACAACCAUCUAGUCCCCCUCGCUAAAAACUGAAGGAGGGAAGGAGGAAGAGAGGAAAGGGGGAACUCCUAUAGUACUUGCAAGGAAGAUGAGCUUAUGUAUGUCUCAGUCAGGACCCUUAACCCAACUCAGUUCCAGCUGGUUCAGAAGAAGAGAGUAUUCUUGGCUCACAUGCCUAAAAGACCAGAGGUAGCCAGGCUCCCGAGUAAGUAAGCAUCCAGGGUCUGGCUCCACCUUUUUGUCCUUCUCCUAGCCCCCGCCCUCUUUUAAUCUUCUCUGCCUGUCUGGCUGGCCUCAUGGGAGCAAAAUGGCUGCAAAGGAUCCAGGCCUUUCAUCUUCACUGUGCAUUGCCCAUGGCUCAGAAUUUGCAGCCAAUGUUUUGAGAGUCGCUCUGAUGAGCUUGCUUAGGUCACCUGUCUGCCUCUAAACCGCAAUACCUGCGGUCCCCAGGAUGUAUAUAUUGACUGCUUGGAUGAGGUCUCCUCUUCCACUCCUGAAGCCGAGGUUGGCGUUAAUCUCUCUCUGCCGUGGGGAGCCCAGGGGAAUCUAGGCUCUUCUAGGAAGGAAAAGGAGGGAGGCUGUCCAGAGGAAACCCCCGGCAGUGCUCCGGAAGAUGAAGAAUCCACGAUGCUUCCAUUGCUUUACAACUCAGAUCUCAGUAACUCUGCACAUGGAAAUAUGUUCCAGAGACAAAUUAUUGGCACGUUUUCCCAGACUGCGACGCCAAAGAAGAGGCUCCAGUCCAUCAAAGGGGAAGACGCCCUGCGCAGAGCACCCAGGAUUCAGGUCCUCCCCAGGCACUCUGAGCACCCUCUUCCUUGGCCUUUAGAAAGAAAGGGCAACUUAAAGAGUCUUUGAAAGUAUUAUUUGCCGUUCUAAACACAGGUUAAAAGACCAUGCGAACUGCUGUAUUCCUGACAUCAUCCACUUGCUCUCAAGGCAAUUUAGCUCCCAGUAUUAAACCAGGAGGAGGGAAAACUAAGACAACUCACCAUCGAAUUUAAAUCACACUCUCACGAAUGGCAACUUUCCAAUUUGUAAUGUGAGCACAAUUAGCAAAAACCAAAUACUUAGAUAUCUGUCAGUAUCUAAAACUCAUUGUCAUUAAAAACACAUCUCAAAGAAAAAAAAAAGUUUUUUUCCCAAUUUUUCAGAGAAAAUUAGUAGCUUGUUAAGUCUUCUUAGGGAUUCAUCCAUUAGGCAAUUCUGUGCAUUCUGUACCACGCUCCAGGUUCUGGGCUCCUCUUGAUAGCCUGCUCAUGAAUAAAAUAUCAUUUUGCUGUUUUAUUUUGUCUUUUUAGGGCCGCACCCGCCAGAUCCGAGCUGCAUCUGCAACCUACACCACAGGAACUUCCUUAUCCCACAAGUGUGGCCCGAAAAAGAAAAGAAGAAAAAAAGAAAGAAAAAUAAAUAAAUGUUUAAAAUUAACAAAAUUAAGCAGACUCUAUAUAUAAACAGAACAAACUAGUGGGACUGGGGGGGCGGAUAUACUGGUGGGAAGGUGGAUGGCACAAAGUAUUUGGUGUGAUACAGGCUCAGGGAUGUAUUAUAAAACAGGAGGAAUAUAGCCCAAAUUGUGUAAUAACUGCAAGUGGAAAGCAACUGUUCGAGAUCGUAUAAAAAAUAAAUAACAACAAAAGAUUUUAAAAAAAAACAAUUGCCCUGUGCUGCAUCCCAGAAUCCACAUCCUCUGAGAAUAAAUACAGCUACCAGCUACAUCAGCUUCCAGAUCAGGUCCUGGCUACACUGCCCUCGGUCUCUAAAAAACCUCUCCCUCUUUGAAAAGCACUAAUUUCACCACCCCCCUCCCACAAAGCAGUGUUUUUCUUUUUCAGAGCAGGAAAAGAUAAAGCCAAGAAAUCUUUAUGAUACUCCUCAUGAAAAAAAAAAAAAAAAAAAGAUGAGACUUUGAUCCCAGGUAUUAUGCAGCCCUCCUCAGCACCUGCCUCCCGCCUCCCACCAGGGUCCCAGGGAAGCUGUGGAGUGAGCUGUCUUCGCAGCUUAUGCCCACUCCCCUCAACUGAAAGUGAAACGAAACCAAGUGACUUAAAGAGGUCCUACUUUCCAAGAUCUACAGACUGUCUGCAGAACGUUAAGGGAAAUUGGCGAUCAGCCCAAAGUGUUUUUCCAAACCACCUCUUAAAUAUUUUCUGGCCAGAACAAUGUAUAAAGCCCACACCGUCAUCUCAGAGGAGAGAAGACGGAUGUUCUCCUGUUGCUCAGAGCCUCUGUUUGGCCCCAAAGCCCCCAGGUACUGUUAAGUUUCAUUGUGAUCCGAUACCCAUCUGCCAGACUGGAGCCUUGGGGUGCGUUCAAUGCCAAAUUUAUACAGGCGGAUAUUUGCAUGCAAAUAUGUAGCUAGAAAUGAAUACUGUAAUUAGCAUCCAUAGCAUUUGCAGGUCUCUGUUCUUUAAGUUCCCUGCACAAUUUGGGAAAAUACACAAGUUGUGGGUUUUUCUCGUUCGAUCAAACACCAUUCAUCGUAGCCUUGCUGGGAGAACAGCCACAGCCAAGUUUAAUCCUAAAUGUGAAGACAUAGACAUUCAGAGAUUUUGCGUUUAUUUAGGGAAAUUUCAUUCCGUCUGAGAGUCUGGAAGGUCAGACAUAUAAAUAAGUAGUAACAAAAGGAGGAAUAUUCUGCUCAGAAAAGCUCUGGAGACAAUAAAUGAAUAUAAUCAAAGGAAACCCAUCGUUUCGUAUCACCUGUGUCAGGCCUUAAAUCUGGGUCGCAGUCCAGUAAUUAGGUGAAACAAUUAAAACCUGGAUGUUUUUGUAAAGGAAACCAGCAAGAAUUAAUUCAAACUUAAUUGAAGUGAGGCAGCCGCUCUCUUGGAUGCGUUAACUGGAGACAAACGGGGGCUUCGCUCCACUGGAAAAAUGGGAGGGGGGUUCAGGCAACCCCAGAGAGAGCCCCUCACGCCAUAUCCUGGUUUUCAUAGGGAGGCAGUCCUUUCUGCUGUGAAUGAAUGAAGGUGACUAUGGAUAAGGCAAACCUCUAACAGACCGGCUCCCUCUGUGUUUCCGGAUUGGAGAAGCUGCGCAGAUGGGUUGCCUGUGCGCUCGGGUGGCUGCCUGAGCCCCAAGCACAUGGUGAUGCAUAGAAGACCCAGACACCACGAGGCUGGUGGAGGGAGAGUGCCCAGUUCGGUGGCGGCUGAGGGCAGGUCCUUUCAGGCAGGGAACCUGGCUCUGCCCUCCGCACUGUGUCUUCUCCAUAGUAUGACCCAGUCAGAUGGAGUCUUCCUUCUUCAAGCUGCCCCUCAGACAUGGCCUCGUGUCCUUUUGAAACUUGGGGAUUUGUCAGUUUCCUUUUCAACGGGCUGGUAAGCAGAUCAAUUAGAUGGGGCUCUAGGCUUGGUACUAUGGAGAGAUAAAGGGAAACCUCCUGAAAAUCAAGGUGAAAUAAAAACUAUCUUGGUACAAGGCUAUUUUCAAAAAUCUGCUUGGGAUCUCUCCUCUAGACUUAAGUUUCUUUUCACUCGGUCACAUCUCUGCUAAACAUGAGGUCCACGGGCCUGGCUCGGGGUGGGGGCACAUUUGGGAGAGUGGUCUUUGAGCUGGAAGGAAGAUGCUCCCAUUGGAAAUGAUGGCAGCAGGUGCAUGGUGGGUAAAGACACAGUCCCGACUUCCCUGGGAAACCCCAAAACUUUCAAAUCUUCUUUAAAGAGACCAUUGAAAACUGAAUAUUUGUGUCUCCCCUCAAAUUCCGAUGUUGGGGCAUGAACCCCCAAUGUGAUGGUAUUAGGAGGCAGGGCCUUCGGAAGGGACUGGGUGUGAGGGUGAAGACCCCGUGAAGGGGUUUGUGCCCCCAGCCAGACGGCCACCUGCGAGCCACGAAGAGCGGCCUCACCACACCUUGAUCUUGGACGUCCUGCCGUCAGACUCUGAGAGACGAAUGGUGCCGUUUACGCCCCUCUGUCUCCGGUAAUUUGAUACAGCAGACUGGCCAGGGGAGGUUAGGACAGGGUCUGUCCCCAGCACCAUGGGACAUGGGACUGGCCAGGCAGGGGGACAAACCAGGGCCUCCACUUCACUCACUCUCCAAUUACUGUGUUUUCAGCACCAGUUGCUUACAGUGCCUCCUGUAAGCAACUGGAAAACCUGGCAAAUAGCCCCCUUUCGACAUGGAAGAAGGCAGAGCUGGGCUGGACAGAAAUAAAUGACUUUCCAAGGUUAGCCAGUCAGUGGUGACGCCAGACGGUCCCGGCCCCCGAAUUCCACUCCAAUCUCCUUCGUCACCAGGCUGCCCUCCUUGUCAAGUGUGUGGCUGGGUUUCAUCUCUGUGCCCGUGACAGUGAAGGCCGUGGCAUCUAUUAAUCUUCACUGCCGUCCUCAUGAGCUCGUUAAGCAUGAAGGGUGACAGCGCGAGCCCGGGGGGCCUUGACAGCUGAAGGCCCCGGGGCGCAGUGAUUCCGGGGUCUGGGGGCUGAGCGAGAACUUUCGCUCUUUGGCUGGGCCCCUGGUCCCAGGAGGCAGGGCCCGCGGUGAGACGGGCUGUUCCCUAAGUGUUGAGGUCCGGGAAGGUAGCCUUGGUCAGCAGUGCCCGGCAGCGGGGCCGGGACAGGCGAUCUAGAAGCCAGAGCGACGCGGCAGCAGCCGCGGCGGGGUCACAGCCUCGGGCUGCUGAGACCGGGGCUGGCUCUGCGGGAUCCGACGGGGCUCCCCCAGUUACCGGGGAGCCCUUCCUCGUCCCAUCUGUUGAGUGGAAGCCGUGGUUAUUUUCACGCUGAAGUCACAGACAGUGACAGAUUCCCGUCCUCUCUGCAUCUUAGUCCACACGCCACUCGGGUGACACGCAUCCAUCAGGCUGCGAGCAGCACGCCGCCUGCCCCGGUGCCCACAUUCCGAGGGGGGCACUUCCGGCCGUGGCGCGGCCUCGGGAAGCCGCGCACCGGUGGCCCUGGAACCUUCGCCAAGCGCCUUACGAGUUGAUGGAUAUCAAGUGGGGCUUCUUGCCUUCGAAAGGGAAAUGUACGCGUCCAGCCCAGGGGUGUAUUCCCGCCUCCCCGUCCCCUCCCUCCUUAAGUGAUAGGAAACAACUGGAACAAGACCCUGGGGUGUCAUGCUGUCAAAAAAAUUCUUAAUGAAAUUAAA
rnacentral:lncRNA from 1 species